rnacentral:rRNA from 1 species
UCUCUGCUAAUAUGAAAAUAGAAGUAUGGAGGGUGAGGCCUGCCCAAUGGUUGUAUCUAAAAAGGGUCGGUAAGAGCCGACUCCAUAAAGACAAUUGAAUGGCCGCGGUAACACUGACCGUGAUAAUGUAGCGUAAUCAAUAGCCAAUUAAUUGUUGGCCGGUAUGAAUGGCGUCACGAAGGCCCCACUGUCUUAAGAAAAACCCCAGUGAAAUUGAAUUCGUAGUGAAGAUGCUACGUCCAAAUUGUUAGACGAAGAGACCCCAUUGAGCUUUACUGGAAACUUAUACGGCUGAAUAGCUAAAAAUUAUGUGGUGAUCUAACCGUUUUGGGGCCCACUUUUUUAUUCUAAGAGAGCUAACUCUUUGAGAGGAACGACGUAAGUUGGACAGUUUGGUUGGGGCGACCGCCUUUUAAAAAGUAACGAAGGUGGGCUUAAGGUGGUGAAUAUUUAAUAACAGCAGCCUGACUGCAAGGGGGACAUCCCGAGCAGACACCUAAAACCAGCCAUUAUAUGGUUGGGCGAAGUGGGCUAUAAUGACCCGUUAAUUUAGAGUGGGAUAGUUAACGAUCAACGGAUAAAAGUUACCAUGGGGAUAACAGCGUAAUAUCGUUAGAGAGCUUUCAUCGACGACGAUGUUUGCGACCUCGAUGUUGAAUUGCAGCAUCCUGGGGUGCAGUCGCUCCCAAGGGUUGGUCUGUUCGUCCAAUAAGGCUGUA